rnacentral:rRNA from 1 species
UGAUUACGUCCCUGCCCUUUGUACACACCGCCCGUCGCUACUACCGAUUGAAUGGCUUAGUGAGGCCCUCGGAUCGAUGUUCGGAGACUGGCAACAGUUUCCGUUCGUUGAGAAGUUGGUCAAACUUGGUCAUUUAGAGGAAGUAAAAGUCGUAACAAGG